GGACACACUCUAGACUGACUUUAUUCAAACGGCGAUAGAUGCUACCUGCGAAUGGAUUAUGGGAACACCGACGUAUGUAAAUACAUAAAGACGAUGCAAGCCUCGUUUGGCCAGUACCUUGAGCUCUCUCUGCGACUACCAGGGGCUGUAUCUAGCGCACAGAAACAACAGCACCAAACGAAAUGCAAAAUGCGUUACCUUGCUUCUGGGAGGAACGGGAACGGGAUCGGACACGGACAGGAGAGGAGGGGAGCACAGAGCACAGCACAGCACUCACUUCUCGCUUAGAGCUGAAUCACCAUAAGCCCAAAGCCACGAAAGAAUAAAUAAUAAGUGACUUUGGACAGGCAGACAAGCGGAGGAACAGGGAGAAAGAGGGGGAGAUACAUACAUAUAUCUAAUAAGAAAUCAGCAAAAGCCGCAUCUAAAAAA